rnacentral:rRNA from 1 species
GAUGAACGCUAGCGGCAGGCCUAAUACAUGCAAGUCGGACGGGAUCCGGGAGUAGCUCGCUACUUCCGGUGAGAGUGGCGCACGGGUGCGUAACGCGUGAGCAACCUGCCCAUAUCAGGGGGAUAGCCCGGAGAAAUCCGGAUUAACACCGCAUGACACGCCGGGACGGCAUCGUCCGGGCGUCAAAUAUUCAUAGGAUAUGGAUGGGCUCGCGUGAUAUUAGCUAGUUGGUGGGGUAACGGCCCACCAAGGCGACGAUGUCUAGGGGCUCUGAGAGGAGAAUCCCCCACACUGGUACUGAGACACGGACCAGACUCCUACGGGAGGCAGCAGUAAGGAAUAUUGGUCAAUGGGGGCAACCCUGAACCAGCCAUGCCGCGUGCAGGACGACUGCCCUAUGGGUUGUAAACUGCUUUUGCCGGGGAAUAAACCCCACUACGUGUAGUGGGCUGAACGUACCCGGAGAAUAAGGAUCGGCUAACUCCGUGC